GAUGAACGCUGGCGGCGUGCCUAAUACAUGCAAGUCGAGCGAACAGACGAGGAGCUUGCUCCUCUGACGUUAGCGGCGGACGGGUGAGUCACACGUGGCUAACCUACCUAUAAGACUGGGAUAACUUCGGGAAACCGGAGCUAAUACCGGAUAACAUGUUGAACCGCAUGGUUCAACAGUGAAAGCCGGUCUUGCUGUCACUUAUAGAUGGAUCCGCGCCGCAUUAGCUAGUUGGUAAGGUAACGGCUUACCAAGGCGACGAUGCGUAGCCGGCCUGAGAGGGUGAUCGGCCACACUGGAACUGAGACACGGUCCAGACUCCUACGGGAGGCAGCAGUAGGGAAUAUUCGGCAAUGGGCGAAAGCCUGACGGAGCAACGCCGCGUGAGUGAAGAAGGUCUUCGGAUCGUAAAACUCUGUUAUUAGGGAAGAACAGAAGUGUAAGUAACUAUGCACGUCUUGACGGUACCUAAACAGAAAGCCACGGCUAACUACGUG
rnacentral:rRNA from 1 species